AUCGGUAGACGCUACGGACUUAAAAUCCGUUGACUUUUAAAAUCGUGAGGGUUCAAGUCCCUCUAUCCCCAUCCCCAACUAUACUCCCCCAA
rnacentral:tRNA from 1 species